rnacentral:rRNA from 2 species
UCGUAGUCCGGAUUGGAGUCUGCAACUCGACUCCAUGAAGUCGGAAUCGCUAGUAAUCGUGGAUCAGAAUGCCACGGUGAAUACGUUCCCGGGCCUUGUACACACCGCCCGUCACACCAUGGGAGUGGGUUGCAAAAGAAGUAGGUAGCUUAACCUUCGGGAGGGCGCUUACCACUUUGUGAUUCAUGACUGGGGUGAAGUCGUAACAAGGUAACCGUAGGGGAACCUGC